CCCCUAAGACGAGGAUAACAGUUGGAAACGACUGCUAAGACUGGAUAGGAGACAAGAAGGCAUCUUCUUGUUUUUAAAAGACCUAGCAAUAGGUAUGCUUAGGGAGGAGCUUGCGUCACAUUAGUUAGUUGGUGGGGUAAAGGCCUACCAAGACUAUGAUGUGUAGCCGGGCUGAGAGGUUGAACGGCCACAUUGGGACUGAGACACGGCCCAAACUCCUACGGGAGGCAGCAGUAGGGAAUUUUCGGCAAUGGAGGAAACUCUGACCGAGCAACGCCGCGUGAACGAUGAAGUAUUUCGGUACGUAAAGUUCUUUUAUUAGGGAAGAAUAAAUGAUGGAAAAAUCAUUCUGACGGUACCUAAUGAAUAAGCCCCGGCUAACUAUGUGCCAGCAGCCGCGGUAAUACAUAGGGGGCAAGCGUUAUCCGGAAUUAUUGGGCGUAAAGGGUGCGUAGGCGGUUAAAUAAGUUUAUGGUCUAAGUGCAAUGCUCAACAUUGUGAUGCUAUAAAAACUGUUUAGCUAGAGUAAGAUAGAGGCAAGUGGAAUUCCAUGUGUAGUGGUAAAAUGCGUAAAUAUAUGGAGGAACACCAGUAGCGAAGGCGGCUUGCUGGGUCUUUACUGACGCUGAGGCACGAAAGCGUGGGGAGCAAACAGGAUUAGAUACCCUGGUAGUCCACGCCGUAAACGAUGAGUACUAAACGUUGGGUAAAACCAGUGUUGAAGUUAACACAUUAAGUACUCCGCCUGAGUAGUACGUACGCAAGUAUGAAACUUAAAGGAAUUGACGGGACUCCGCACAAGCGGUGGAUCAUGUUGUUUAAUUCGAAGGUACCCGAAAAACCUCACCAGGUCUUGACAUGCUUCUGCAAAGCUGUAGAAACACAGUGGAGGUUAUCAGUUGCACAGGUGGUGCAUGGUUGUCGUCAGCUCGUGUCGUGAGAUGUUGGGUUAAGUCCCGCAACGAGCGCAACCCUUAUUGUUAGUUACCAGCACGUAAUGGUGGGGACUUUAGCAAGACUGCCAGUGAUGAAUUGGAGGAAGGUGGGGACGACGUCAAAUCAUCAUGCCCCUUAUGACCUGGGCUACAAACGUGAUACAAUGGCUGUUACAAAGGGUAGCUGAAGCGCAAGUUUUUGGCGAAUCUCAAAAAAACAGUCUCAGUUCGGAUUGAAGUCUGCAACUCGACUUCAUGAAGUUGGAAUCGCUAGUAAUCGCGAAUCAGCAUGUCGCGGUGAAUACGUUCUCGGGGUUUGUACACACCGCCCG
rnacentral:rRNA from 1 species